rnacentral:rRNA from 1 species
CGGCGUGCCUAAUACAUGCAAGUCGAACGCACUCUCGUUUAGAUUGAAGGAGCUUGCUCCUGAUUGAUAAACAUUUGAGUGAGUGGCGGACGGGUGAGUAGCACGUGGGUAACCUGCCCUAAAGUGGGGGAUAACAUUUGGAAACAGAUGCUAAUACCGCAUAAAACCUACACCGCAUGGUGUAGGGUUGAAAGAUGGUUUCGGCUAUCACUUUAGGAUGGACCCGCGGUGCAUUAGUUAGUUGGUGAGGUAAAGGCUCACCAAGACCGUGAUGCAUAGCCGACCUGAGAGGGUAAUCGGCCACACUGGGACUGAGACACGGGCCCAGACUCCUACGGGAGGCAGCAGUAGGGAAUCUUCCACAAUGGACGAAAGUCUGAUGGAGCAACGCCGCGUGAGUGAAGAAGGUUUUCGGAUCGUAAAACUCUGUUGUUGGAGAAGAAUGUAUCUGAUAGUGACUGAUCAGGUAGUGACGGUAUCCAACCAGAAAGCCACGGCUAACUACGUG